GCAGUAGUGGUUCAGUGGUGGAAUUCUUACAUUUCAUGCAGGAGACCUGGGUUUGAUUCCUGGCUGAUGUA
rnacentral:tRNA from 1 species